rnacentral:lncRNA from 1 species
GUAUAAGUGUCCCACCGACUUGAGAUCACCACGGUGACUUAUAAGCAACUCACUAUGCUUUGGUGCCAGACUACCUAAAUUUUGAAUUCAAGAUCAGAAGAUUUUUUGACACAGUCAAGUACUUGUGAAGUCGGUGCGUGAGUCAAGAUGGAAUUGACCACUCCAAGAGAUUGGAGAGAAUGCUUUGUGUUUCAAUUUAGUAAG